rnacentral:rRNA from 1 species
AACGAACGCUGGCGGCGUGCCUAAUACAUGCAAGUCGAGCGGAUCUUCAUUAGCUUGCUUUUGAAGAUCAGCGGCGGACGGGUGAGUAACACGUGGGCAACCUGCCUGUAAGACUGGGAUAACUUCGGGAAACCGGAGCUAAUACCGGAUAAUCCUUUCCCUCACAUGAGGGAAAGCUGAAAGACGGUUUCGGCUGUCACUUACAGAUGGGCCCGCGGCGCAUUAGCUAGUUGGUGAGGUAACGGCUCACCAAGGCGACGAUGCGUAGCCGACCUGAGAGGGUGAUCGGCCACACUGGGACUGAGACACGGCCCAGACUCCUACGGGAGGCAGCAGUAGGGAAUCUUCCGCAAUGGACGAAAGUCUGACGGAGCAACGCCGCGUGAGCGAUGGAGGCCUUCGGGUCGUAAAGCUCUGUUGUCAGGGAAGAACAAGUAUCGGAGUAACUGCCGGUACCUUGACGGUACCUGACCAGAAAGCCACGGCUAACUACGUGCCAGCCGCCGCUGUAAAAC